rnacentral:rRNA from 1 species
UACGUAGGGUGCGAGCGUUGUCCGGAAUUACUGGGCGUAAAGAGCUCGUAGGUGGUUUGUCGCGUUGUUCGUGAAAACUCACAGCUUAACUGUGGGCGUGCGGGCGAUACGGGCAGACUGGAGUACUGCAGGGGAGACUGGAAUUCCUGGUGUAGCGGUGGAAUGCGCAGAUAUCAGGAGGAACACCGGUGGCGCAGGCGGGUCUCUGGGCAGUAACUGACGCUGAGGAGCGAAAGCGUGGGGAGCGAACAGG